AUUGAACGCUGGCGGCAGGCUUAACACAUGCAAGUCGAGCGAGCGGCGGACGGGUGAGUAAUGUCUGGGAAACUGCCUGAUGGAGGGGGAUAACUACUGGAAACGGUAGCUACUACCGCAUACCAUCAGAUGUGCCCAGGUGGGAUUAGCUAGUAGGUGGGGUAAUGGCUCACCUAGGCGACGAUCCCUAGCUGGUCUGCGAGGAUGACCAGCCACACGGGAACUGAGACAAGGGCCAGACUCCUACGGGAGUCAGCAGUGGGGAAUAGUGCACAAUGGGCGCAAGCCUGAUGCAGCUAUGCCGCGUGUGUGAAGAAGGCCUUCGGGUUGUAAAGCACUUUCAGCGAGGAGGCGUUACUCGCAGAAGAAGCACCGGCUAACUCCGUGCCAGCAGCCGCGGUAAUAC
rnacentral:rRNA from 1 species